ensembl:lncRNA
GUCCUGUUUUGGAUGUGCCCUUGAGUUGUUUCAUGUUUUUAAUGCGAACUGUCACGUAACCAAACUGAGCUCUUUUCAUUUAUGACUUGGCCCCCAGUGAGUCAGUGUCCAGAAACAUUUUGAGGAAGUUGGUUUUGCCAGAAACAGGAAACCCUUCAGUUGCAGUUUAUUCAUCAAGACAAAAUGAGAAGUGCUGAAGAGACACACGGAACAAUCUCAUCAGAAGACCAGAAACACACCCAACUAACUCCUAAAUCGCAACAUGGAUUCUCAGCAGUUUUGGCAUCUUUUCUUCGUGUUUCCUUGGAUGUUUGUAUUUUGUCUCCCUUCUGUGUGUUCAGGAAUGAAUGCACCAAAAAUGCGCUUGGAGAACACUGUCUUUGUGGCCUUUGCAGGUGAAGAUCUCAGGAUUAACUGUGAGUUGGAGAAACCAGCAAACCAAUCUAAAGACAUCUUGAGGUGCUUCAGUCCUCACGGAGAAAUUUACCACUGUGACGUUGCUUCUACGGAUGGUCACCCACAUACAGACAAACUGCAACUGGAGCUGAAAAAGUUGACCUAUUCAGGAGAAUACAACUGCCAGUAUAAAACGGCGAAGGUGUACUUUUUUCUUCGAGUGAGGGCUGAAGGCUACAAGGAGCCCAAAAUGUUCAACUACACCAAACUCAUCACGGUGGCCACCAUCACUGGUGUGCUGUUGAUCUUGAGUGUGAUCGGCUCAGUGUAUGUCUUCAGAGGAUAUUGGAAAGAGAAGAUGACUGAAAGUGGCGACAGGCAGAAAACUAGCAGAAAACCAAAGGACAACAGAGAAGAGAGGAAAAAGGAAGAUAUGGAUGAAACUCAUGCAGAUGUAAUGGCAGCUGAGUCUACGUCCUUCUAUGCUAGUCUUGAGACUCGACCCAGGUCCAUCUAUGAUGUUCUGGACCACUCAGCUGCCAGCAGAGAGCCGGACCGGAGGAAACCUAAACCAAAGAAAAAGAAACCCCCAAAAACGGUGGCGCAAACUACAGAGCAGCAGGAUGAAGGUGUGUUUGAGUGUGUUUAUGAAAACUUCUGAAUCGUUAAUAAACUUAUUCCAGUAGACUAUGAUAUUCAUAUCAGCAGCUGUAAUAUGUAUCAUUGCUUUCCUAUUUUGAUGUCAUACGUAACAGUAACAGAAUAACUUAGAUUCUGUACCUCAGUGUAAGUAGCAAAACCACAAUGUGAAAAUACUCAAUAAAGGUACAAAUAAAGGUUUUGCUUUUAAAACAUGUAAAUAAAAAUGUACAAGAGUAUUAAAAAAUGUGCUCAGAGUAUUAAAAUAACUAACCAAGCAGACUACUGGAUUGUUCUGACUGAUUUCCAAACAUUUUUGUAGCAUUUUAAUGUUGUAGCUGAUUGAAGUGGAAUUGUUU